rnacentral:rRNA from 1 species
ACGGGAGGCAGCAGUGGGGAGUAUUGGGCAAUGGGCGAAAGCCUGACCCAGCGACGCCGCGUGAGGGAAGAAGAUCUUCGGAUUGUAAACCUUAGUCAACAGGGACGAAGAAAGUGACGGUACCUGUGGAGGAAGCCACGGCUAACUACGUGCCAGCAGCCGCGGUAAUACGUAGGUGGCGAGCGUUAUCCGGAAUUACUGGGUGUAAAGGGUGUGUAGGCGGGUCUGCAAGUCAGAUGUGAAAACUAUGGGCUUAACCCAUAGCCUGCAUUUGAAACUGUAGCCCUUGAGUAUCGGAGAGGCAAGCGGAAUUCCUAGUGUAGCGGUGAAAUGCGUAGAUAUUAGGAGGAACACCAGUGGCGAAGGCGGCUUGCUGGACGACAACUGACGCUGAGGCGCGAAAGCGUGGGGAGCAAACAGGAUUAGAUACCCUGGUA